ensembl:lncRNA
CGUUAGAGUGUGUGGCCGAUAUAAAAACGCUCUCUCUCUCUCUCUCUCUCUCUCUCUCUCUCUCUCUCUGAGGAAUCACAAAAAACGUGAAGAACAGCAUUCCUUCAGAAAGGGACACACUUUACUUCAUAGUGUAUCAUAUGACUGAUCACAUAACAUACUGCUUAGAGAGAGAGAGAGAGAGAGAGAGAGAGAGAGUGUGUGUGUGUGUGUGUGUGUGUGUGUGUGUGUGUGUGUAUACACUGGAGAAUUUAAGGAAGUGGGGUCAGGUGCUUGACAGGUGGCCGAGUCCCAGAGCGAGAGAGAGAGAGAGAGAGAGAGAGAGAGAGGAAUGAGGGGAAUGAGGGGAAUGAGGGGUUAUUGGCAAUAGAGAGAGACACGCAGAGAGAAAAGAAGACCCCAGAGUGAUUAUUGCCACGUGGCCGAGUCCCAGAUCUGACCCGAGAGAGACAGAGAGUGAGAGAGAGAGAGAGAGACAGAGAUAUAGAAAGAGUAAGACAGAUAGGGAGCAGUGAGCAGCUGUGGAUGUAAUUCGUCUAACACACUGCUUGUGCUCUGAUUAAGCAAGCGCUCCGGCCUCUAAUUUCCUCCUGACACUGGCUAAUGCUCUAUAUCUCAAUCACACACACACACACACACACACACACACACACACACACACACACACACACACACACACACACACCUGGUCACCUGCCCAUUAGAUGGUGGCCUUAGAUCAGAGCCAGAGGCACUUGAAAAAGUGUGUGUGUGUGUGAGAGAGAGAGAGAGAGAGAGAGAGAGAUUGACAGCCACAGCAGCAGUAGCAGUAGCGCCACUGAAUCCCAUCAGAGAGUCUCUCUCUCUCUCACACACACACAUUCAGCAUUUUCGCACGCCUCUGACCUCAUAUGGGUCAUGAGCGAGUCUCUCUCGCUCUCGCUCUCGCUCUCUCUCUUGCUCUCUUUCUGUCUGACCAACAUGUUGACAACUUUCUACUCAUUACCGACGAUCCACGGCUUUUAAAAUCCAAGACUAAUCAAAUUUCACUGCUCGAUUUUGGAAAUUGGAAUAAUCGUAAGUGCACGAAAUUGUUUUGCACGGUCUUUCGCCAUGAUGUUUGUUGGUAAAUGAGACCUUUUAGCUGUACUCACGUUUGACGCACGUGAGUCGAACAGGGCUUUGGCUGAAUGUGGGUUGUGAUGAUGUCACAUGACACGUCUUGGCUCAAAUCUGUGGAAAAGCUCCUCCGAAUAUUGCGGAGUGAGCUCGAAUUCUGCGAUCGCAAAAUCCUGGAGGGACUGACUUGUGACUUGUGUAAAUUGUCUGUAAGCAUUAGUCAGUCUUCUUAGACAUAAAUGAAUACCAGAUUUCUUGUAGAAAUUGUUUCUUGCACAAGCAAUUUACGAAUACAUAAAUAAACAACUUGAUAAACGUGGCCCAAUGUGUGUCCCUAAUGAGUCUAAGGGAGUGUGAGAUGGGUUUGUCUUUGUUUCUCUCCCUGUCUUUCUCUUUGUUCAUAAUCUCUAAUGCGAAUACACCAUACUAUUACUCCACUGAGACAACCAGUGUGUUCCAGAGGUUUCAGCCUUGUUUACAUUGCCCUUUGAGCGGAAUUGAGAACUCCAGAAGCAAUGGAUUCGGAUAGUGUCAGUGCAGUCCUGUUCACAGACAAAGAACAGCCAUUCCCAGCUUACCUAGUGGGCUACAAGUCCUUCCCCUCCAUAUUCAAGCCGUCAUUCU